UACAGGAGCUGGGGCCGUCCCAGGCGAUGACCCCUGUCCUCAAUGUUGACAUUCUGGGAAUACAGACAUGGAUGCUUAUAAACCACACAGCACACCUGUGGCUCUUCUUAGGCUCUGGCCAGCAGGCUAGGGGGCUGCACUGUCAUUCCCAGAGUUGCUGAGAUUCUUACUUUUUGUAAAAGAUGCAGCAGCAGCUUCGAAUCUGAGGAGGCCUUUAACUUCUCUUCUAGGCUCUAUGUGGAGAGAGAGAGCGAGAGAGACAGGAAAUCUCAAGGACAUGUUCUUGUAUUUUCAAGAAUGUAUCGCACACUGGUCACAAAUGGAAGUCACAGCCACAGCCUGACUUUGAGGUGCCAAGGGAUCCACUGGGACCUGUCGCCCCUGCCGGAGGGUCUGUCAGAAGAUCAGGUUUUGGCGAGUCUGGCUGCUGGUACAGCUGAGGUAGGAGUGGGUGUUUUCUGUUCC